UGGGGGAUAUUGCACAAUGGGCGCAAGCCUGAUGCAGCGACGCCGCGUGGGGGAUGAAGGCCUUCGGGUUGUAAACUUCUUUUGCUCUGAACAAGGCGCACUUUGGGGUGUGUUGAGUGUAGGGGUUGAUUAGCGCCGGCUAACUACGUGCCAGCAGCCGCGGUAAUACGUAGGGCGCGAGCGUUGUCCGUAAUUAUUGGGCGUAAAGGGCUUGUAGGUGGCUGGUUGCGUCUGUCGUGAAAGGUCAUGGCUUAACUGUGGGUUUGCGGUGGGUACGGGCUGGCUUGAGUGCAGUAGGGGAGGCUGGAAUUCCUGGUGUAGCGGUGGAAUGCGCAGAUAUCAGGAGGAAUACCGGUGGCGAAGGCGGGUCUCUGGGCUGUUACUGACACUGAGGAGCGAAAGCAUGGGGAGCGAACAGG
rnacentral:rRNA from 1 species